GUAGGGCGGGACACGUGGUAUCCUGUCUGAAUAUGGGGGGACCAUCCUCCAAGGCUAAAUACUCCUGACUGACCGAUAGUGAACCAGUACCGUGAGGGAAAGGCGAAAAGAACCCCGGCGAGGGGAGUGAAAAAGAACCUGAAACCGUGUACGUACAAGCAGUGGGAGCACCCUUUUGGGUGUGACUGCGUACCUUUUGUAUAAUGGGUCAGCGACUUAUAUUCUGUAGCAAGGUUAACCGAAUAGGGGAGCCGGAGGGAAACCGAGUCUUAAUUGGGCGUUAAGUUGCAGGGUAUAGACCCGAAACCCGGUGAUCUAGCCAUGGGCAGGUUGAAGGUUGGGUAACACUAACUGGAGGACCGAACCGACUAAUGUUGAAAAAUUAGCGGAUGACCUGUGGCUGGGGGUGAAAGGCCAAUCAAACCGGGAGAUAGCUGGUUCUCCCCGAAAGCU
rnacentral:rRNA from 1 species